UAUGUACUCCCUCCGUUCCAAAAUACUUGACUUCCAUUUAUCCAAGAAUGGAUGUACCUAUAUACUAAAACAUGUCUAGAUACAUCUAUAUUUUGACAAAUAGAAGGCAUGUAUUGUGGAACGGAGGGAGUAGAAU
rnacentral:pre_miRNA from 1 species